rnacentral:rRNA from 2 species
UUGGGCCUAAAGCAUCCGUAGCCGGUUGCAUAAGUUUUCGGUUAAAUCUAUGCGCUCAACGUAUAGGCCGCCGAAAAUACUGUGCAGCUAGGGAGUGGGAGAGGUACACGGUACUCAGUAGGAAGGGGUAAAAUCCUUUGAUCUAUUGAUGACCACCUGUGGCGAAGGCGGUGUACCAGAACACGUUCGACGGUGAGGGAUGAAAGCUGGGGGAGCAAACCGGAUUAGAUACCCGGGUAGUCCCAGCUGUAAACGAUGCAGACUCGGUGAUGCAUUGGCUUGUGGCCAAUGCAGUGCCGCAGGGAAGCCGUUAAGUCUGCCGCCUGGGAAGUACGUACGCAAGUAUGAAACUUAAAGGAAUUGGCGGGGGAGCACA